rnacentral:rRNA from 1 species
AUUGAACGCUGGUGGCAUGCUUUACACAUGCAAGUCGAACGGUAACAGGCCUUCGGGCGCUGACGAGUGGCGAACGGGUGAGUAAUGCAUCGGAACGUGCCCAGUCGUGGGGGAUAACGCAGCGAAAGCUGUGCUAAUACCGCAUACGAUCUGCGGAUGAAAGCGGGGGACCUUCGGGCCUCGCGCGAUUGGAGCGGCCGAUGUCAGAUUAGGUAGUUGGUGGGGUAAAGGCCCACCAAGCCAACGAUCUGUAGCUGGUCUGAGAGGACGACCGGGCAAACUGAGACAAAGAAACGGCCCAGACUCCUACGGGAGGCAGCAGUGGGGAAUUUUGGACAAUGGGCGCAAGCCUGAUACAGCAAGGCCGCGUGCAGGAAGAAGGCCUUCGGGUUGUAAACUGCUUUUGUACAGAGCGAAAAGGCUCCCUCUAAUACAGGGGGCUCAUGACGGUACCGUAAGAAUAAGCACCGGCUAACUACGUGCCAGCCGCCGCGGUAAUAC